rnacentral:rRNA from 1 species
UACGUAGGGUGCGAGCGUUAAUCGGAAUUACUGGGCGUAAAGCGUGCGCAGGCGGCGCGUUAAGACAGGUGUGAAAGCCCCGAGCUUAACUUGGGAAUUGCGCUUGUGACUGGCGUGCUGGAGUGUGGGAGAGGGAUGCGGAAUUCCAGGUGUAGCGGUGAAAUGCGUAGAUAUCUGGAGGAACACCGGUGGCGAAGGCGGCAUCCUGGACCAACACUGACACUGAGGAGCGAAAGCCAGGGGAGCAAACGGG